GUGCUCACUUUGGGAAAAACACAUAGUAAAAUUGGAACUAUACAGAGAUUAGCAUGGUCCCUGCACAAGGAUGACACGCAAAUGUGUGAAGUAUUCCUUAUAUUU
ensembl:snRNA U6 U6 spliceosomal RNA